AUGGGCGAAAGCCUGAUGCAGCGACGCCGCGUGCGGGAUGAAGGCCUUCGGAUCGUAAAGCUCUGUUGCACGGGACGAAAACUGGGUUUGAAAACAUUGAACCUGGGUGACGGUACCGAGCGAGGAAGCCACGGCUAACUACGUGCCAGCAGCCGCGGUAAUACGUAGGUGGCGAGCGUUGUCCGGAAUUAUUGGGCGUAAAGGGAGCGCAGGCGGACAUAUAAGUCCAUCUUAAAAGUGCGGGGCUCAACCCCGUGAGGGGAUGGAAACUGUAUGCCUUGAGUGCAGGAGAGGAAAGCGGAAUUCCCAGUGUAGCGGUGAAAUGCGUAGAUAUUGGGAGGAACACCAGUGGCGAAGGCGGCUUUCUGGACUGUAACUGACGCUGAGGCUCGAAAGCCAGGGGAGCGAACGGGAUUAGAUACCCCGGUAGUCCUGGCCGUAAACGAUGAAUGCUAGGUGUAGGAGGUAUCGACCCCUCCUGUGCCGGAGUUAACGCAAUAAGCAUUCCGCCUGGGGAGUACGGUCGCAAGACUGAAACUCAAAGGAAUUGACGGGGGCCCGCACAAGCGGUGGAGUAUGUGGUUUAAUUCGACGCAACGCGAAGAACCUUACCAGGGCUUGACAUUGAGUGAAAGAGCUAGAGAUAGCUACCUCCCUUCGGGGACACGAAAACAGG
rnacentral:rRNA from 1 species